AUGAACGCUAGCGACAGGCUUAACACAUGCAAGUCAGGGGUAACAGGGUAGCAAUACCGCUGACGACCGGCGCACGGGUGAGUAACGCGUAUGCAACCUGCCUAUAACUGGGGAAUAGCUCCCUGAAAGGGGAAUUAACACCGCAUAACACUAUUGAUUCGCAUGGAUUGGUAGUUAAAUGUAGCGAUACAGGUUAUAGAUGGGCAUGCGUGACAUUAGCUAGUUGGUGAGGUAACGGCUCACCAAGGCUACGAUGUCUAGGGGUUCUGAGAGGAAGGUCCCCCCACACUGGUACUGAGACACGGACCAGACUCCUACGGGAGGCAGCAGUGAGGAAUAUUGGUCAAUGGGCGCAAGCCUGAACCAGCCAUGUCGCGUGCAGGAAGAACCUGCCCUAUGGGUUGUAAACUGCUUUUAUAGUAGAAGAAACACAUCUACGUGUAGAUGUCUGCCAGUAUACUAUGAAUAAGCAUCGGCUAACUCCGUGCCAGCCGCCGC
rnacentral:rRNA from 1 species